UCACGGUGAAACUUUGUAAACAACUUCUACACGCUGGUUUAAAGCUCGUCCGCCGUAUUUACUACGAAACAGCGCGGUGGUGCUGCAGCCGAGAGACUCAAACGACUCAAAACAGACGCAAACACAAUUCAAAAAUCUAUGAAGGUAAGAAGAAUAAUGUCACGCAAACCAGAGAGAAGCAGCACCAGAAAGGCCAGCAAGGCAAGAAUUAAGACCAAAGCCUGGAUCAGGCUCUUUAUGGGAUCCCUGAGUGACAGAUACUCGGCUGAAAUUACACAUGGAGAUCUCCACCCCACUCGAAGCUGUCCAAGUUUUAAUGACUGGGAUCCUACCAGUGAGGUGCAUAUCAGGGGGAAGCCUCGGGAGAUGACUGCAGGUGUCUGUAAGGCGGGGAUUUACAUUUUCUCAGGACAGGCAGCCCAUGGAGAGAGGCCUGCUGGCAGAUCAAAGGCUCCGGCUGUAAAACGAUCUGAAAGAGUCCAGCAUUAGCAUCCAUCAGGGUACCUUGAAAGCUCCCUGAUCAGCCGAGAGGGAAGCUGAGGGCCCCCCAAAGUGAAAGCCCAGUCUGGAGAGGGGUGAUGGAGGGGUGGAGGGAGGCUGGAAAGAGGGUACACAGAGAAGGAAAGGAGUAAAAUUCCCAUAAUAAACUACAAAUGUUUUGAUUUCUCUGUUGGAUUUGACCCCCGUCUCAUCCCUUUACUCGUCCUCUCCACUCUCCUUUUCUUUAUAGCGUUUAGACUGAGAACGUCUCCAUCUGUGCACAGAGGCCAGAGUUUACUACUGGUCCCUGAUGUCUGUGCAUAGUUAUGACUGGUCUGGGUAGUGGACUGAAGGGUGAAAGAAGUGAGGGAUAGUGUGUGGGAGAAAGCUAAACCUGCUCCAAAGUAUCUCUUUAUAGCAGCCAGUCGGCACUGUGGGAAAUAACAGCAGCAUAGAGGCAGUGUGCUGCACUUUUGUGGAAUAAGCUUGUUCAUAGUCUUGAAAUGGAUAGGUAUCGAACAUGUGUGAUAGAGAUGGAGAUUAGACCUGCGUUCCUGCUGUGUCCCAGUGCGUCAGUGUUUGCAUCUUUUUCAGUAACAAAAGUAAAUCUGCAUCCUUUGGAUUAAAAUUCCCCCAGGAAACAAGCUAUAGUAGGGUCCAAAAUGUGCAUAUUAUGAAUAUACAUUUAGUCAGUUUUAACAUAUGUCGUUCUAAUAAAUGUAGACUUUAAAUGACCUGUACUGUUUGUAGUUGCAAUCUACACAGUGAUUUUGUUUUAAAGCUUUUAUUUUGAAAUACUGCACCUGCCACUAUUGAUAUAGUUUCCAAAAAUGGCUCUAAAAAGGCUCGUGUCUGGCCAAUAAAUUCCUCAAUUUUGCCUGUCAUGAUACCAUUCUUCAUUUUGAUGAAAAGGAUUCAAGAUUGAAGAUUCUUUAUUUGUCACGUGCGUAGUUAUACAAGUACAACACGCAGUGAAAUGUGACCUGAUACGUAGCUCCUGAUUCAACACACGGAGGAUAGAAGCUCUCCGUGCUUACUCCUGAAGUCCACCACCAGCUCCUUGGUCUU